rnacentral:rRNA from 1 species
CAGUAGCCGCGGUAAUACGUAGGGUGCACGCGUUAAUCGGAAUUACUGGGCGUAAAGCGUGCGCAGGCGGUUUUGUAAGACAGGCGUGAAAUCCCCGGGCUCAACCUGGGAAUGGCGCUUGUGACUGCAAAGCUAGAGUGCGGCAGAGGGGGAUGGGAUUCCGCGUGUAGCAGUGAAAUGCGUAGAUAUGCGGAGGAACACCGAUGGCGAAGGCAAUCCCCUGGGCCUGCACUGACGCUCAUGCACGAAAGCGUGGGGAGCAAACAGGAUAAGAGACCCCAGUAGUCCCUGUCUCUUAUAC